rnacentral:rRNA from 1 species
UUCCCUUCGGGGACAUUGGUGACAGGUGGUGCAUGGUUGUCGUCAGCUCGUGUCGUGAGAUGUUGGGUUAAGUCCCGCAACGAGCGCAACCCUUGUCUUUAGUUGCCAGCAUUAAGUUGGGCACUCUAGAAAGACUGCCAGGGGGAACCUGGAGGAAGGUGGGGAUGACGUCAAAUCAUCAUGCCCCUUAUGCUUAGGGCUACACACGUGCUACAAUGGGUAGUACAGAGGGUUGCCAAGCCGUAAGGUGGAGCUAAUCCCUUAAAGCUACUCUCAGUUCGGAUUGUAGGCUGAAACUCGCCUACAUGAAGCUGGAGUUACUAGUAAUCGCAGAUCAGAAUGCUGCGGUGAAUGCGUUCCCGGGUCUUGUACACACCGCCCGUCACACCACGGGAGUUGGAGACGCCCGAAGCCGAUUAUCUAACCUUUUGGAAGAAGUCGUCGAAGGUGGAAUCAAUAACUGGGGUGAAGUCGUAACAAGGUAGCCGUAUCGGAAGGUGCGGCUGGAUCACCUCCUUUCUAAGGA